AGUGUGAGCGAAGUAAUGUUUUUCGUUGUUGAAAAGCAGGCGAUUGGGAAUGAUAGUUUUGAAGUAGGUUUGGCUGGUGGACGUCGUAUAUUUCAUUGCGAUUCUUGUACGGCAGUUAUGGAUUAAUUAUGUCUAUUGGCCAAGUAACUGUAUGCAUGAGUUUCUUAUUGAAUUAUUAUGGACAAGCCAUAAGACUAAACAAAAAUGGUCAAAAAGACAGUAUGGGCUACCUUCUUUCAUAAAUCAUCCACAAAUGACAACCCAUAUCAUGCACUCUGCCCACCUGGCAGUGAUUUAUGGUGUGGUUACCAGGGGGCUGUUACUCAAGGACUCAAAAUCCAAAUGAAAGUUUCAACAAUAGCGAAUGGGAACAGAUGCCAAAAACUCUUCUAGUAGGACUAAAUGCUUUGAAAACAGGUAGAUGUGCUAGAUGCUGUUCCAUGUUUCAAUGACAGUGCAGUGUCAAGACUUAAUGUUGUGGUACUGAUGGGAGUGCCUGGUGGACUAAAUAUGGAUAGUGUUCUAAUAGCCAUUGACUGAAAGAGACUCUUCGAAGCAGAAAAAUCAGUGUUGGAAGCCACCAAAGAACGAAGAAGUAUUGGUGUGGAAAGGAGAAAGGAGGAAGAACAACACAGAAAACAAAAUGAAUAUAGACCUGGAAUGCAUUAGUGCCAUGCAAGUUUAAUAGAAAAAGCAAGUUUUAACUUUAACAUCAAUUUCCCAAAAGUUAAAUUAUUUCAUGUUCUGGUACACUUUGACUAAAAACUAUUAAAGGUAGAGAGCUGAAAUUUUGUAUAAUGUCUUAAA